UUCAAAACAACGGCGGACAUGAGGGCUAUAAGCUUGUCACCAUUGAUGGGAUUUCCAUUGUUGUCGACCACACCGCUGCGGUCUACGUCAGUGUCGAAAACAAUGCCGAGAUCAGCUGUGUUUUCUAGCACAGCGGCUCGGGUUAAUGCCAUUGCAGUUUUGUCUUCGGGAUUGGGGAUGUGAUUGGGGAACAUCCCAUUAGGGUUGAGAUGUAAAGAACCAAAUGUAUCUGCGCCAAGCUGGUCUAACACAUCCCAUGUGAAGAAACCUCCUGAUCCAUUUCCAGCGUUUACAAUUAUCUGCAAUCAGGUGUAAUGUCAAGGCAAUUAAUUAGCUUGUAACGAUGCAUAAAUAUAUUGCCACUGUGUUACGUGGGCUAGGAUCUUCAGCAAACUAAGCCCUUAGCCUGAUCUCCACGGAUAUGGCCCUCUUACUAGAAGAAUUCUUGACCACACGAAAACUUGGCCUGUUUUUGGAUGGAUAAUGGCUUAUUUGUCCUUCUAUAUUUAUAAAAAAAUUUAUUUUAAUUCUUUAUUUAAUUUUUUGUCCCAUUAAAUUUAUAUUAUUUGUCAAAUCACCUAAAAUAGAUCAAAAGUUAAUAUAUGGCAUCCACGUCAGCAAUUAAUUAUUUUUUAAAAAUUUAAAAAUAUUUUAUUAUAAUUUUUAUACUUUUUUUACUAAUUUUAAAAGUAUUUAAUUUUUUAAAAUAAUUUUUUAAAAAUUUUAAAAUUUUAAAUAACGUGAGUAAAGUCAACCACAUUAAUUUUUUCAUAUAUUUUAAAGUGAUUUAACAAAUAAUACAAAUUUAAAAAUUAAAAAGAGAUAAAAGAAAAUUAAAUAAAUAACUAAAAUAACUUAUUUUAUAAAAUUAGAGGAUAAAAUAAAUCAUGUUCCCUUUUCGACAAGCCAACGGCCUAACAAGCACCAUAUGAUUUAUAUUUGAAGUUUCCUACUAUUUCUAAUUGGAUGCAAAAAGAAAGAGUGAACCGAAUAGAGUUCCAUGGUAAAAUGCAAUAUUUAACGUAGAAAAAUACAUGUAAACAAAUGGCAAGCACACCAAAAGAUAGAGAUAAAACCUGGAAUCCUUUGAGUGGAGUAUCAUAAUGAAUAGGAUGGUUCACUCUCUCCUUGAUAAUGUCCCGUAGGUGCUUUGCGUAAGCCCUCAUGAAGUCAACCUUUUUUGGAGGAGAGUUAAGCAUGGUCGACACUUUUGUGAGCCUGUUGGCGUACUUACGAGCAGCUUCGUCACAUAUCUCUUCCACUUCAGGCGAAGUUAAACCUCCUUUCUUUGUAAAAAAUUUCAGACCAUUGCGAGUGUAGGGUAAGUGAGAAGCCGUCAUCUGCAACACAAAUUACAUACAAAUUUACCAUAGUUGAUUUAACAUUCUUUUCAACACAGAUUUUAGUUGAGACUGCUUUUUUUACUCUACCAUGAUUGAAGCAUCGUAAGCAAAUGGUGGCAGCAAUGUGCUCAUAAAACAAGCUGGUGUAGUAGCAAGGCCCAUCUCAAAUGUCAAGCAGCCAGCUCGAGCAAGGCCUGCAAAUACUGCUACACUCAGAGAUGCUCCUGAUAUUCGAGGGUCUUUGCCAAGUGAUACUGUAACAUCUUCCACUGGACGUCCUCGUUCCUUUUCCAAGGCCUUGAUAAUCCACUCUCCGAAGCUCUCGGCUAUGGCUUCCACGGCUGGUGGGGUAAGGUCCACGGUUCGACCCUUUUCACCUUCCAGUGCAACCCCUCGAACAUCGGACCCAUUUUGAAGUCUCCUAAUCUUGUCCAUCUCUUCAUCAACAACCACUUCAUUAUAUUUCACUGCACCGCUAGAAGAUUUAACGCAUAUAACUACACUUGACUUUGACCAAAAUGAAAAUCUCAACGCUUUUUUUAGUGCAGUUUUUGCUGGUGAUGAAGAGAAACUGGCUUUUCGACCAUGUCCUCGUAAGGGUAUCAAG
rnacentral:lncRNA from 1 species